rnacentral:lncRNA from 1 species
CAUUCAGAUGUGGGAAGGAGGGAGGAGGGAGAGACGACCUGGAAAGGAAUGAGUGUGAGCUCAGUCGAUGGUCAGGGACUGUGCCCAACCAGGGCCUGGCUGUGCCGUGGGGAGCUCUCCGAGCUCUGAGCAUCCAAAUGUUGGAGUCCUGACCCUGCCUUUUGUGGGAUAGAAAAUGGGAAUUAACACCGCUUCUGGGCAGCUCAAUUAGGAAAUCUUAGACGCUCUACCUGGUAGUGGAAUGAUUAGAUUACUCAAGCCUACAAUUUUAUCUUUUGCACAAUUUGCAUCCAAUUAUGUUAUUCUGUCUCUAAUCUAGUGGGAAUCUAUUCUCAUCUCCAUCAGUUGGCCCUGCUUCAUAACGCACGUUUCCUGACAGCAGUUAGAGGAGAGACUGAGUAAGGCUGUGGUGGCAUCUCCCAGCUCCUUUGGGCUGGAUGGGGAAGGACCUAAGCCAUCAGUGUCCUGGAGAUCCAGCGUCUUAAUUCAUUCAGGGUAGCCCGUCCCGCCCUCCAGACUGCUGGGCACACCAGGGGCUCUGCUCCUGCUCUGUCCCAGGACUCAGGGCCCCUCCAGGGCAGCUGCCGUGACGUCGUGGCUAUGAGGCAUUCAGCCGCCUCCCAGAAUGCGCCAUGCUCUUGCCCAACCUGGACUCCCCACUCUCUGCUGCUGGCGCCAGGACGGUCUCACCCACCUCAGCCUCUAGCUCCUCCUCCUCAAGCCUCAGGUCUGAACUUGGCCAUGGCCUCUGCCCAGAAGCCUUCUGCACCUCUGUCAGAUCCCCGUUUACCCCCAGCAGGACCCUCCCUUAGGGCACUUGGUACAAUUUCACAUCCGUGACAGUGACAGUCACCGCCCCCAUGCUGUGAGCCCCACGGGAGUCCGAGCUGACUUCAUUCUUCCCCUACUACGUGCCUCAUCCACUUUGAGCUCCUGUAUUAGUCCAUUCUCAUGCUGCUAAUAAAGACAUAUCCAUGACUGGAUAAU